GAUGAACGCUAGCUACAGGCUUAACACAUGCAAGUCGAGGGGUAGCAUGGUCUUAGCUUGCUAAGGCCGAUGGCGACCGGCGCACGGGUGAGUAACGCGUAUCCAACCUGCCUUACACUCUUGGACAGCCUUCUGAAAGGGAGAUUAAUACAAGAUGUUAUCAUGAGUAAGCAUUUUCGCAUGAUUAAAGGUUUACCGGUGUAAGAUGGGGAUGCGUUCCAUUAGAUAGUAGGCGGGGUAACGGCCCACCUAGUCUUCGAUGGAUAGGGGUUCUGAGAGGAAGGUCCCCCACAUUGGAACUGAGACACGGUCCAAACUCCUACGGGAGGCAGCAGUGAGGAAUAUUGGUCAAUGGACGAGAGUCUGAACCAGCCAAGUAGCGUGAAGGAUGAAGGUUCUAUGGAUUGUAAACUUCUUUUAUACGGGAAUAAACGGAUUCACGUGUGGAUUUUUGCAUGUACCGUAUGAAUAAGGAUCGGCUAACUCCGUGCCAGCAGCCGCGGUAAUACGGAGGAUCCGAGCGUUAUCCGGAUUUAUUGGGUUUAAAGGGAGCGUAGAUGGGUUGUUAAGUCAGUUGUGAAAGUUUGCGGCUCAACCGUAAAAUUGCAAUUGAUACUGGCAGUCUUGAGUACAGUUGAGGUAGGCGGAAUUCGUGGUGUAGCGGUGAAAUGCUUAGAUAUCACGAAGAACUCCGAUUGCGAAAGGCAGCUUACUAACCUGUAACUGACAUUGAUGCUCGAAAGUGUGGGUAUCAAACAGGAUUAGAUACCCUGGUAGUCCACACGGUAAACGAUGAAUACUCGCUGUAGGCGAUAUACAGUCUGCGGCCAAGCGAAAGCAUUAAGUAUUCCACCUGGGGAGUACGCCGGCAACGGUGAAACUCAAAGGAAUUGACGGGGGCCCGCACAAGCGGAGGAACAUGUGGUUUAAUUCGAUGAUACGCGAGGAACCUUACCCGGGCUUAAAUUGCAACCGAAUAUGGCGGAAACGCUAUAGCUAGCAAUAGCGGUUGUGAAGGUGCUGCAUGGUUGUCGUCAGCUCGUGCCGUGAGGUGUCGGCUUAAGUGCCAUAACGAGCGCAACCCUUGCCGAUAGUUACUAACAGGUUAUGCUGAGGACUCUGUCGGGACUGCCAUCGUAAGAUGUGAGGAAGGUGGGGAUGACGUCAAAUCAGCACGGCCCUUACGUCCGGGGCUACACACGUGUUACAAUGGGGGGUACAGAGGGCUGCCACCACGCAAGUGGAUGCCAAUCCCAAAAACCUCUCUCAGUUCGGAUUGAAGUCUGCAACCCGACUUCAUGAAGCUGGAUUCGCUAGUAAUCGCGCAUCAGCCACGGCGCGGUGAAUACGUUCCCGGGCCUUGUACACACCGCCCGUCAAGCCAUGGGAGCCGGGGGUACCUGAAGUGCGUAACCGCAAGGAGCGCCCUAGGGUAAAACUG
rnacentral:rRNA from 1 species